rnacentral:rRNA from 1 species
CAGCCGCCGCGGGAAUACAGAGGGUGCAAGCGUUAAUCGGAAUUACUGGGCGUAAAGCGCGCGUAGGUGGUUUGUUAAGUUGGAUGUGAAAGCCCCGGGCUCAACCUGGGAACUGCAUCCAAAACUGGCAAGCUAGAGUACGGUAGAGGGUGGUGGAAUUUCCUGUGUAGCGGUGAAAUGCGUAGAUAUAGGAAGGAACACCAGUGGCGAAGGCGACCACCUGGACUGAUACUGACACUGAGGUGCGAAAGCGUGGGGAGCAAACAGGAUUAGAUACCCCGGUAGUCCCUGUCUCUUAUCA